rnacentral:rRNA from 1 species
AGUUCACAUCGACGGGGAGGUUUGGCACCUCGAUGUCGGCUCAUCGCAUCCUGGGGCUGUAGUCGGUCCCAAGGGUUGGGCUGUUCGCCCAUUAAAGCGGUACGCGAGCUGGGUUCAGAACGUCGUGGGACAGUUCGGUCCCUAUCCGUCGUGGGCGUAGGAAAUUUGAGAGGAGCUGUCCUUAGUACGAGAGGACCGGGAUGGACAUACCUCUGGUGUACCAGUUGUCGUGCC